GCCGGGCGCGGUGGCGCGCGCCUGUAAUCCCAGCUACUCGGGAGGCUGAGGCUGGAGGAUCGCUUGAGCUCAGUUCUGGGCUGCAGUGCGCUAUGCCGAUCGGGUGUCCGCACUGAGUUCGGCAUCAAUAUGGUGACCUCCCGGGAGCGGGGGACCACCAGGUUGCCUAAGGAGGGGUGAACCGGCCCAGGUCGGAAACGGAGCAGGUCAAAACUCCCGUGCUGAUCAGUAGUGGGAUCGCGCCUGUGAAUAGCCACUGUACUCCAGCCUGGGCAACAUAGCGAGACCCUGUCUCUA
rnacentral:SRP_RNA from 1 species